rnacentral:rRNA from 1 species
UGACAGCCGCAGCGGUAAUACGGAGGGGGUUAGCGUUGUUCGGAAUUACUGGGCGUAAAGCGCACGUAGGCGGAUUAGUAAGUUAGGGGUGAAAUCCCGGGGCUCAACCCCGGAACUGCCUCUAAUACUGCUAGUCUUGAGUUCGAGAGAGGUGAGUGGAAUUCCGAGUGUAGAGGUGAAAUCCGUAGAUAUUCGGAGGAACACCAGUGGCGAAGGCGGAUUUCUGGACCGAUACUGACGCUGAGACGCGCAAGCGUUGGGAGCAAACAGGAUUAGAUA